UUUGUCUUUGUCUUUGUCUCAUUAACCCAAAAAGUAAAGGCUUAUUGGAAAUGAUAUUGUAAACCCAAAUUUAGUUAUAAAUGUUUCACUGUGAGAAUUGAUAUAUGUUUAUAUCAUUAGAUCUGUAAUCAAGGUUAACAAUGAAUAAUCCAUCUCAUACAUUGUCAUCAUUCAAUAUUUUAUAAUCAAUUGGAUACAAGCCCCCUGAUGAUGCCUUAUGGAGAGAUGAUCAUACUAAUCAAGUGUAAUACAGGUAAACAAUCAACCAAAACCAGGAGACAAAAUAAAAGGUAAUUUCAAGUCCGGAAAGAAAAAGGUCACAAUAUUAAAUGAAUUGAAUUGGAAACAAAUUUAAUUGAUUAAGAUUCAGUUUAAAGGUUAGGUAACCGUUAUAAUCUAUCAGAAAUAAUCAGCAAACAAAGAAUCCAUGUAUUUCCGGAUCAUCUUAUUCUUAGAAUUACUAAUGAUGAUUAAACCAAAUAAUCAAAAUGAAGUAAAAAAAUUAAAAUAAACAGAACAGAAAAUUUAAAAUCGAAUUUAAAAAAUUAGUUCAACUAUCGCUCACCAGAUGGCGGCACGUGAAGAGAACCAGAAAUUGAUUAAAAUUUGAUUGUUUUUCCUUCAUUAAUAUUGAUUAGUGAGAACCAUUUUGGUUAACUUGGAAUAAUUAUGAUUAAUAGUAACUUGAAUUAUCGUUAAAAUGGCCAAUCCUCCAGUUUAACACGAAAGAAUUGACAUUAUUCUGCCUACUGGACAUUACGAACAUAAGUUUACCAUUAGUUUCGAGGUUAAUGAUUACCUAACCUCGAUUUCCCUCCUUUUUUUGUUCUAAAUGAAAAUUAAUCCUUAACAAAGUUAAAUGUUCAUAUGAAGAUAACGACACUUAGUUAAUUAACAACUAUUCUAAUUAAAAGGAAACCUUUGCUCUUUCUCAUCAAAAGUUCAAAGGAAAAGUUAAUCACAAACAAUAAUGUAAGAAAAAGUUACGAAAAUGUUAAUAGAAAUAAAAAUAAAUAUUAUCCAGACAAUUGUCAGAGAUAAACGAUAAUAAA